rnacentral:rRNA from 1 species
CAGGUACACGUAGGUGACCGUGGCCCCCAGGCAGGGGAUAACGGCCCGGAAAGGGCCGCUAAUACCCAAAAGGAUCGGCGAGUCGCGAGUCGCGCUCAGAGUUACGGCGGUCGUCGGGAGGGGCCUGCGGCCCAUCAGGUAGUGGGCAGGGUAACGGCCCACCAGGGCAACGACGGGUAGCCGGCCUGAAAGGGCGAUCGGUCACACUGGAACUGAGACACGGUCCAGACUCCUACGGGAGGCAGCAGUGGGGAAUUUUGGACAAUGGGGGUAACCCUGAUCCAGCAACGCCGCGUGAGUGAUGAAGGUCUUCGGAUUGUAAAGCUCUGUCGAGUGGGACGAUGGGUUUCAAAGCUAAUACCUUUGAGAUUUGACGGUACCACUGGAGGAAGUCAUGGCUAACUACGUGCCAGCAGCCGCGGUAAUACGUAGGUGGCAAGCAUGUUCGGAUUUACUAGGCGUAAAGGGAGCGUAGGUGGCUUUGUAAGUUGGAAGUGAAAUUCACAGCUUAACUGUGGGACUGCUUCCAAAACUACUUAGCUUGAGUUAGGAGAGGGAAAUGGAAUUCCUGGUGUAGCGGUGAAAUGCGUAGAUAUCAGGAAGAACACCAGUGGCGAAGGCGAUUUCCUGGUCUAACACUGACGCUGAGGCUCGAAAGCUAGGGGAGCAAACAGGAUUAGAUACCCUGGUAGUCCUAGCUGUAAACGAUGAUCAUUAGGUGUGGGAGGUAUCGACCCCUUCCGUGCCGCAGCUAACGCAUUAAAUGAUCCGCCUGGGGAGUACGGCCGCAAGGUUGAAACUCAAAGGAAUUGACGGGGGCCCGCACAACGGUGGAGCAUGUGGUUUAAUUCGAUGAUACGCGAGGAACCUUACCUGGGUUUGACGCAUUACGACAGGUGCCGAAAGGUGCUUUCCCUUCGGGGCGUUUUGCGAGGUGCUGCAUGGUUGUCGUCAGCUCGUGCCGUGAGGUGUUGGGUUAAGUCCCGCAACGAGCGCAACCCUUAUCCUCUGUUACCCCGUGAGGGGGUCUCUGAGGAAACUGCCGGCGAUGAGCUGGAGGAAGGCGGGGAUGACGUCAAGUCAUCAUGGCCCUUAUGUCCAGGGCAACACACGUGCUACAUGGCUUCUACAAGGGGCGCGAACCGUGAGGUGGAGCAAAUCCCUAAAAGAAGUCGUAGUUGGGAUCGGAGUCU